GUGAUAUGUUGAUAUAUCGUCCAAAACCGGUUUGAAUUCCAUAUUGUGAGAUUGGUUUCAAAAAUUUUGCCCGGGCCAUAUAUUGAGAAUUGUGUGUGUGUGUGUGUGUGUGUGUGUGUGUGUGUGUUUGCUAUGCAAAAAUCACA